CACCAAAAAGGCCUUUAGUCAUUUGGGGACAGAGACUGGCUGGAUGGAGAAGACAGUUGCCAUGGGAGCAGAGGGGGCAGAAGUGAACAUUGGGCAUAAGGGGGGUGUAAUAGCUCUCCUCCAAGCAGAGGGUAACUUUAUUGUGCCCUUUCACUGCUUGCCACGUAGACUGGAGCUGGCAAUGCUGUCAGUGCAGAGAAAACCCCCAUGGUGGAUCAAGUCUACAGUCUGCUGAACAUGGUGGAGGAAGGGACCCCCAACUGCAGAACCUAGGACAGUUCACAGCAGUGUAUUUUCAUAUGGAUCAUUUGAGUGCAUCAUCAGCCAACGCAGAUGUUGCAGGAAGAGCAAGAAAGAUGAAGACAUCACACCAUCACCAACAGCCAAGGCAGUGUGAACAAAUAAAUUCUCUGUUUUUAUUGCUAAAUUAUCGGUAAUGCAGUUAAAAUAGACAAAAUUAUGAAUAUGUUGCGUUGAUAUAGAUGCUCCUAAAUUUUGUGCUGGUGCUCCUAA